rnacentral:rRNA from 1 species
GGGGAGUGAAAUAGAACCUGAAACCGUGUACGUACAAGCAGUAGGAGCAGGCUUUGUCCUGUGACUGCGUACCUUUUGUAUAAUGGGUCAGCGACUUAUAUUCAGUGGCAAGGUUAACCAUCUAGGGGAGCCGUAGGGAAACCGAGUCUUAACUGGGCGUUCAGUCUCUGGAUAUAGACCCGAAACCAGGUGAUCUAGCCAUGGGCAGGUUGAAGGUUGAGUAACAUCAACUGGAGGACCGAACCGACUAAUGUUGAAAAAUUAGCGGAUGACUUGUGGCUAGGGGUGAAAGGCCAAUCAAACCUGGAGAUAGCUGGUUCUCCCCGAAAGCUAUUUAGGUAGCGCCUCGGACGAAUACUACUGGGGGUAGAGCACUGUUAAGGCUAGGGGGUCAUCCCGACUUACCAACCCUUUGCAAACUCCGAAUACCAGUAAGUACUAUCCGGGAGACACACGGCGGGUGCUAACGUCCGUCGUGGAGAGGGAAACAACCCAGACCGCCAGCUAAGGUCCCAAAUUACUACUAAGUGGGAAACGAUGUGGGAAGGCUCAGACAGCCAGGAUGUUGGCUUAGAAGCAGCCAUCAUUUAAAGAAAGCGUAAUAGCUCACUGGUCGAGUCGGCCUGCGCGGAAGAUGUAACGGGGCUAAGUAGUAAACCGAAGCUGCGGCAAUGUGCUUUUGCACAUUGGGUAGGGGAGCGUUCUGUAAGCGGUUGAAGGUGUGUGGUAACGCAUGCUGGACGUAUCAGAAGUGCGAAUGCUGACAUGAGUAACGAUAAAGGGGGUGAAAAACCUCCUCGCCGGAAGACCAAGGGUUCCUGUCCAACGUUAAUCGGGGCAGGGUAAGUCGACCCCUAAGGCGAGGCCGAAAGGCGUAGUCGAUGGGAAACGGGUUAAUAUUCCCGUACUUCUUACAAUUGCGAUGGGGGGACGGAGAAGGCUAGGUGGGCCUGGCGACGGUUGUCCAGGUUCAAGUGCGUAGGCUUAAGAGUUAGGUAAAUCCGGCUCUUUUUAAGGCUGAGACACGACGUCGAGCAUCUACGGAUGUGAAGUCAUUGAUGCCAUGCUUCCAGGAAAAGCCUCUAAGCUUCAGAUUGUAAGGAAUCGUACCCCAAACCGACACAGGUGGUCGGGUAGAGAAUACCAAGGCGCUUGAGAGAACUCGGGUGAAGGAACUAGGCAAAAUGGUACCGUAACUUCGGGAGAAGGUACGCUCUCGACGGUGAAGUCCCUCGCGGAUGGAGCUAUUGAGAGUCGCAGAUACCAGGUGGCUGCAACUGUUUAUUAAAAACACAGCACUGUGCAAAAUCGUAAGAUGACGUAUACGGUGUGACGCCUGCCCGGUGCCGGAAGGUUAAUUGAUGGGGUUAGACUUCGGUCGAAGCUCUUGAUCGAAGCCCCGGUAAACGGCGGCCGUAACUAUAACGGUCCUAAGGUAGCGAAAUUCCUUGUCGGGUAAGUUCCGACCUGCACGAAUGGCGUAAUGAUGGCCACGCUGUCUCCACCCGAGACUCAGUGAAAUUGAAAUCGCUGUGAAGAUGCAGUGUACCCGCGGCUAGACGGAAAGACCCCGUGAACCUUUACUACAGCUUGGCACUGAACAUUGACCCUACAUGUGUAGGAUAGGUGGGAGGCUUUGAAGCACGUACGCCAGUAUGUGUGGAGCCGUCCUUGAAAUACCACCCUUGUAGUGUUGAUGUUCUAACGUCGACCCCUUAUCGGGGUUGCGGACAGUGCCUGGUGGGUAGUUUGACUGGGGCGGUCUCCUCCCAAAGAGUAACGGAGGAGCACGAAGGUGGGCUAAUCACGGUUGGACAUCGUGAGGUUAGUGCAAUGGCAUAAGCCCGCUUGACUGCGAGAAUGACAAUUCGAGCAGGUGCGAAAGCAGGUCAUAGUGAUCCGGUGGUUCUGAAUGGAAGGGCCAUCGCUCAACGGAUAAAAGGUACUCCGGGGAUAACAGGCUGAUACCGCCCAAGAGUUCAUAUCGACGGCGGUGUUUGGCACCUCGAUGUCGGCUCAUCACAUCCUGGGGCUGAAGUCGGUCCCAAGGGUAUGGCUGUUCGCCAUUUAAAGUGGUACGCGAGCUGGGUUUAGAACGUCGUGAGACAGUUCGGUCCCUAUCUGCCGUGGGCGUUGGAAGAUUGAAGGGGGCUGCUCCUAGUACGAGAGGACCGGAGUGGACGAACCUCUGGUGUUCGGGUUGUGUCGCCAGACGCAUUGCCCGGUAGCUAAGUUCGGAAUCGAUAACCGCUGAAAGCAUCUAAGCGGGAAGCGAGCCCUGAGAUGAGUCUUCCCUGAUACUUUAAGUAUCCUAAAGGGUUGUCGGAGACUACGACGUUGAUAGGUCAGGUGUGUAAGUGCUGUGAGGCAUUGAGCUAACUGAUACUAAUUGCCCGUGAGGCUUAACCAUACAACACCUAAGGGGUUU